CCUACGGGUGGCUGCAGUGGGGAAUCUUGCGCAAUGGGCGAAAGCCUGACGCAGCGACGCCGCGUGGGUGAUGAAGGCCUUCGGGUUGUAAAGCCCUGUGGGGAGAGACGAAUGAGCACGGGCCAACACCCCGUGCGAUGACGGUAUCUCCUUAGCAAGCACCGGCUAACUCUGUGCCAGCAGCCGCGGUAAGACAGAGGGUGCGAACGUUGUUCGGAAUUACUGGGCGUAAAGCGCAUGUAGGCGGCCGCGCAGGUCGGGUGUGAAAGCCCUGG
rnacentral:rRNA from 1 species